GAUGAACGCUGGCGGCGUGCCUAAUACAUGCAAGUCGAGCGAAUGGAUUAAGAGCUUGCUCUUAUGAAGUUAGCGGCGGACGGGUGAGUAACACGUGGGUAACCUGCCCAUAAGACUGGGAUAACUCCGGGAAACCAGGGCUAAUACCGGAUAACAUUUUGAACCGCAUGGUUCGAAAUUGAAAGGCGGCUUCGGCUGUCACUUAUGGAUGGACCCGCGUCGCAUUAGCUAGUUGGUGAGGUAACGGCUCACCAAGGCAACGAUGCGUAGCCGACCUGGGAGGGGGGGCGGCACCGCUGGGACGGAGACACGGCCCAGCCUCAUACGGGAGGCAGCAGUAGGGAAGCUUCCGCAAUGGACGAAAGUCUGACGGAGCAACGCCGCGUGAGUGAUGAAGGCUUUCGGGUCGUAAAACUCUGUUGUUAGGGAAGAACAAGUGCUAGUUGAAUAAGCUGGCACCUUGACGGUACCUAACCAGAAAGCCACGGCUAACUACGUGCCAGCCGCCGCAGUAA
rnacentral:rRNA from 1 species